UUGAGCUGCUGCGGACUCGGGUAGAAGCUGAAAACUGAAUUCCUGAAUCAGUAGCGUGAUAGCUGUAGAGUGAGGAGCAUAUUGUACUAUUUGUGUUGGUUGCAUUUAAGUUGCGAAAGUGUUCCGACGUUUCCUUUCCUCAGCCAUGAGCAAAAUUAGGGUCCACGUGGAAUAUUGCGGGUCGUGAGGUUACGCCUCCAAGUUCCGCAAGUUGCAAGCGGAACUUGAGGCGAAGUUCCCUGGCCAGCUGGAAAUAGUUGGCGAAAGAACCCCGACUAGAACGGGUCACUUUGAAGUAACCGUUGGAGACACAUUGGUGCACAGCAGAAAGAACGGCGAUGGCCACGUCGAUGAUGAAGAGAAGAGCAACAAGAUAACGGACGCCAUCGCCAGCGCUCUGGAGGGAUAGGUCAGAAACCAUAGAAGAGACACAGUCAGGUUAAGACAACGGCAAUCCUACCAUGGGAACUGGACGAAAUGAAGCUUAUGGUCCAAAAUCCCUGCAGGGAAAGGCCUCCAGCGGAAGACUGCCCCGGCAGGUGCAGUCCUCGUGGGAUGAUGCUGUUGCCUGAUGCCUGGAAAGACGUUUGGAAACUGGAAUGAAGAUCACUACGGUCGUCGACGCUUUCCGAAAGACGGCUGGAGAAAUCACAUUUGUUUUAUUUACCAAUUUUCAGAGUUAGCAUCACGGAAAUUUUGGUCAUGACAGAUGUUAAGAAAAAUCGCACAAUUUUCGGAAUUAUCUAUUAAAUUUCAUUUGUUUUAUUUUAGUUGAGUGAGCACGUCACUGUCAUAGGUGGCAAUAAAAUUAUUCAAAAAUGUCAAUAUUUGAUUUGGAUCAAGAAAUAAAGUUAACUUCAUGCAAGCAAUUAA